GGGCCGGCUUGGGGCUUGGUUCUAUGUCCCUGCGGGUCGGUGCGAGGGCGAAGAGGAACCCGUGGGCCUCGGGGGAUCCCGGGGGGCCGGACCAGUGUCCCCUAGUUGUGGGAGCAGACGCGUGGGCGCAUCGCGGGCGGGCAGGGCCUGAAGUGCAGCUAUGUUUCCAGUGUCCUCUGGGUGUUUCCAAGAGCAACAGGAAACGAAUAAAUCUCUGCUUAUCCAAAUGUUCCGUUGGUCCCUGUUCAUCCCGCCCUGCAGUUCUCCUUGACUGAUUCAGCCCUUUGUGGUUUGCAGUCCUGUUUCUCUACAGCUUGGACCCCUUCAGUCUUUC
rnacentral:lncRNA from 1 species